rnacentral:sRNA from 1 species
ACAGAUGAGGGAGUUGGGGUGGGAAUGAGAGCAAGAACAUGGGGGCCAGCUGGGGACAGUUGAGAACAAUGAUGCAACUUUCUUCUCUCUUCCUUUGUGGUAGCAGACCUUUUAUGCUUUCUUGAAAGAACUUAUUUUAUCUUUUCAUUACUUAGGAAAUAACACUAUAUCCAGACAAGCAUGGGUGUGUCCGGGACCUGUUAGAAGAAUGUAAAAAGGCCGUGGAGCUUGGGGAGAAAGCAUCAGGGAAACUUAGGCUGCUAGAAAUUGUAAGCUACAAAAUCAUUGGUGUUCAUCAAGAAGAUGAACUAUUAGAAUGUUUAUCUCCUGCAACGAGCCGGACGUUUCGAAUAGAGGAAAUCCCUUUGGACCAGGUGGACAUAGACAAAGAGAAUGAGAUGCUUGUCACAGUGGCGCAUUUCCACAAAGAGGUCUUCGGAACGUUCGG